GCGGGUGUGGCGAAAUUGGUAGACGUAUCAGACUUAGGAUCUGACGCCGCGAGGCAUGGGGGUUCGAGUCCCUCCACCCGCACUA
rnacentral:tRNA from 1 species